UGAGGAAUAUUGCACAAUGGGGGCAACCCUGAUGCAGCAACGCCGCGUGAGUGAUGAAGCAGUUUAUCUGUGUAAAGCUCUGUUGGGAGGGACGAACAGUAGUGUUAGCAGCAUUAUUUGACGGUACCUCCUGAGGAAGCUCCGGCUAACUCCGUGCCAGCAGCCGCGGUAAUACGGGGGGAGCGAGCGUUGUCCGGAUUUAUUGGGCGUAAAGGGCAUGUAGGUGGUCUUUUAAGUCAGUUGUUAAAACUAUCGGCUUAACCGGUAAUUGCAAUUGAUACUGGAGGACUUGAAUUUGAGAGGGGAUAGUGGAAUAUCAAGUGUAGCGGUGGAAUGCGUAGAUAUUUGAUAGAACACCCGAGGUGCAGACGACUAUCUGGCUCAUGAUUGACACUGAAAU
rnacentral:rRNA from 1 species